UACGUAGGGCGCAAGCGUUGUCCGGAAUUAUUGGGCGUAAAGAGCUCGUAGGCGGCUUGUUGCGUCGGUUGUGAAAGCCCGGGGCUUAACCCCGGGUCUGCAGUCGAUACGGGCAGGCUAGAGUGUGGUAGGGGAGAUCGGAAUUCCUGGUGUAGCGGUGAAAUGCGCAGAUAUCAGGAGGAACACCGGUGGCGAAGGCGGAUCUCUGGGCCAUUACUGACGCUGAGGAGCGAAAGCAUGGGGAGCGAACAGG
rnacentral:rRNA from 1 species